UACAGAGGUCCCAAGCGUUGUUCGGAUUCACUGGGCGUAAAGGGUGCGUAGGUGGUGAGGUAAGUCGGAUGUGAAAGCUCGGAGCUCAACUCCGAAAUGGCAUUGGAAACUACCUCGCUCGAGGGUUGGAGGGGGGACUGGAAUACUUGGUGUAGCAGUGAAAUGCGUAGAUAUCAAGUGGAACACCAGUGGCGAAGGCGAGUCCCUGGACAACUCCUGGCACUGAGGCACGAAAGCUAGGGGAGCAAACAGG
rnacentral:rRNA from 1 species